CGGGUGAGUAACGCGUGGGUAACCUGCCUCAUACAGGGGGAUAACAGUUAGAAAUGACUGCUAAUACCGCAUAAGACCACAGAGCCGCAUGGCUCAGUGGGAAAAACUCCGGUGGUAUGAGAUGGACCCGCGUCUGAUUAGGUAGUUGGUGGGGUAACGGCCUACCAAGCCAACGAUCAGUAGCCGACCUGAGAGGGUGACCGGCCACAUUGGGACUGAGACACGGCCCAAACUCCUACGGGAGGCAGCAGUGGGGAAUAUUGCACAAUGGGGGAAACCCUGAUGCAGCGACGCCGCGUGAGCGAAGAAGUAUUUCGGUAUGUAAAGCUCUAUCAGCAGGGAAGAAAAUGACGGUACCUGACUAAGAAGCACCGGCUAAAUACGUGCCAGCAGCCGCGGUAAUACGUAUGGUGCAAGCGUUAUCCGGAUUUACUGGGUGUAAAGGGAGCGUAGACGGCUGUGUAAGUCUGAAGUGAAAGCCCGGGGCUCAACCCCGGGACUGCUUUGGAAACUAUGCAGCUAGAGUGUCGGAGAGGUAAGUGGAAUUCCCAGUGUAGCGGUGAAAUGCGUAGAUAUUGGGAGGAACACCAGUGGCGAAGGCGGCUUACUGGACGAUGACUGACGUUGAGGCUCGAAAGCGUGGGG
rnacentral:rRNA from 1 species